GGUGACACAGUGACAGAGUUAGGAGGGAGUGACUAGUGACUAGUGACAGUCACCCCUUCCCUCACUCUGUCACUAGUCACUCACUCUGUCACCUGUCACUCCCUCACUCUGUCACUAGAGUGAGGGGGUGACUAGUGACAGAGUGAGGGAAGGGGUGACUAGUGGCAGAGUGAGGGAAGGGGUGACUAGUGGCAGAGUGAGGGAAGGGGUGACUAGUGGCAGAGUGAGGGAAGGAAGGGGUGACUAGUGACAGAGUGAGGGAGGUGGUGACUGUUACUAGUCACCACCUCCCUCUGUCACUACUCCCUCCCUCCUUCUGUCACUACUCCCUCCCUUCUUCUGUCACCAGUCACCCCCUCCCUCACUCUGUCACCAGUCAUCCCCUCCCUCACUCUGUCACCAGUCAUCCCCUUCCCUCACUCUGUCACCCCCUCACUCUAGUGACAGAGUG